rnacentral:lncRNA from 1 species
UGAGGGACUAUUGAUGCUUUUGGUAUCAGCAGCCACAGAAUUCAUCAGACACAGCACAAAAGAGCAGGAGAAGAGAUAAUGGCAGAUGCCAGAAGGUUGUCCAGCUGGUUACUACCUCUCCUCUUCACCUGAUUAUACCUGAUUACUGCUGACUCGAUGGGCAGGGAGAGUCGCUGACUCCUGACAGAAAGACUCUGUCACCCCUUGCCAUUUAUUUUAGAUCCUGUGAAUCCUACUGUCAAUGUUGUGACACCUGCAAUGCCUGGGAUGAAGCUGCCCAUGUGGUGAGAUGCAGCCUGUGGAAGCCUCUUUUCAGUGGAGUGAGAGCCAAGCCCCCUUGGCUUUUCAUAGACAAUUGGUGAACGGGACAAGGAGACACUGUCCUUGGAUGUCUGAAAAAAAAAGAAAAAGGUUGCAAAACAUGUUGCCAAUAAGAAUGUUGUAGAUGAAAGGCAGGAUGAAGGAAAGUGGUCUUAAUUUAAAUUCUCUAUUUUACUAAACCUACUCUUUAACAAAUAUGUUUAUGUGAGGCAUCAGAAGCAAAUGUAUUUUGGCUUUUAAGAGAAUUAAAAUUGUUUCCCCUAUUUUUUUAUUUGUUUGCUUUGGUGGCUUUGUGACCAAAAAAAUUGUUUUAAUCCAAAUAGCCACAAUAAAUAAAUAAGCAAAUGAAUAAAAUUCCCAGGUCAUUUGAGAGAAAAGAUUAACUGAAAAGGUAAAGCAUCUCCCCCUUUUUAGUUUCAGUUAAUUAUAGUGUCAGGAUGACUUUUUAACUUACCUGGCAAUCUGGAACCUCAUAGAGUCACUUGCGUUUUCAAAAUUUCCAUGUGAAAACAUGAUUGUGCCAAGUACUCCCUAUUAACUUUUAGACAUCAUCUAUAAAAUCACUACAGGAAAAUAUGGAAAUAUCUGAGAGAUACACAGUGGAUCGCCUCAGAAUAAAUCGUUCCCCAAAUCAUUUUAUGACUGCCUGAGUCGGGACUCAUGGGUCAGAGUAGAGUCAUAGUUAAGGUUUGCAACUGGCUUAGUAGCAAGAGGGGAUAAACAAACUAUCCAGGCUGUUGAACUGUCCAGUUUCGCUACAACUGUAUUUACUUGUUGGGAUCAACUGUUUUCUUUCCUAUUAAGGUAUUAGUAGCCACUGAUAAUGGAAGCCAGGGCCCGCUAGAAAUAGACCAGAGGAAAUUUCCUGACUCACUUGCAUAACAACAGUUCAUCAGCACUGAAGAUAUAUGAAGUGUGACUGCAGAGUAAUGGGAGUGAUUAGGUUUCUCUGCACAACAAAACUCUUACAUACAAAUGAGCACUGUCCCCUUCAGGACAGUCCUCAGGGAACCCGUAUGCUUAUUCCGGUGUGUGAUUGGUCUGGAAGCAUUUUUGGAUGCCCUCUGGACAGAAAGUGCUUUUGGACACUGUUAGUGGUGACAAAGUGUGUCCUUUGAGGAUGGAUUAGAUUGUUGGAAAUGAUACAAUGUAUUCACAGUAUACAUCUGUUGUUUUUGUCUACCCAGAAGCCUCUGUCCAAACUUGUGGUUGGAGAGGCUGUAUUUCUUCUGUCGUUCAUUCUGUCUUUGAAGGCUCUCGAGGAGAAAAUAGCUUUUAAUAUCUCUUGGGAAAUGGCCACAUUUUCCCCUGGCAAUUGAACCCAUGGCUUUCUUGAAUGACUACUCCUCAACCAGGUCUAAGUUGUUUAGGUAGGCUGACUUGACCACCAGUUCCAGAGCACAGACAUGUGACGAGCCUGGCCAUAGUCAUUGAUUCAGGGAUGGACACAUGACUGAAACGGCAUGCUGGCAUUUAGUUCUGGUACUUGGAUUUUAACUGUUGGGAGGAGAAUUUCUCACUCUGCUAUGAUAUAAGCAUGAAGCUACUGGCUUCCACUUGCUGCUACAAAGAGCCUGCUUAAAAAUGGAGCCAACAUAAAAGGAAGCAGAUUUAAGACCUGAGCGAUGAGAGCGUGCACAUGUGUGUAUAUCCACAUAAUGAGACUAAGUCUUGAUUUCUGCACCUUGAUCCAGAUAUACCUGGAGCAGAAACUCUGCUGGGACUCUUUUGUAUCAUGAGCCAGUAACCUCCCUAUUUGCCUAGUAGGUUGAUUUGGGCUUCAAUCUUGCAACCAAGUGAGUCCUGACUAAACCAGCAGAAUGGAGCCAGGUAAGGUUCUUUCUCAAGAAGAGAAGAAGGAAGGUAUCAAGACGUUUAUGACAAAUUUCUACUCAACACUGAGCACCUGCUAAGUGCUGGGCCUAAUAGUCGAGAUGCUGCAAUGAACUAGUCCAUUCAGGAUGCUGAGGUGUUUCAGCCUAGAAGAGACUGCUUUUCUUCCUUUGCUCAUGCAGACUCAGGGGGCCAUUCUCAAGGAGGAGUUAGUGACAGGAAUGUCUUUGGCAAAGACAGCACUCUUGAGUGUGGUCAGAACAUGUUAUUUAUUUCCCAAGAUGAUUAGUUUUUGAAGAAGACAACAAAUAGUUGAGGCUAUGAAUUCUAUCUCUGUAAAAAUAGAGUUAUGUUUUCCUCCUGUAGUCAGAUCUCCUGUGGAACGUGAGUAAACAGGAAUUUCUAUGUAUGGAGCAAGGACAGUAUGGUUAGCACAUAAUACAUGUGUUUAUUUCAGAGCUGGGGAGGACUCCUGACCAGCGUGACACCUAACAUUGGAGUGAAGGGGCAGCAGAUGUGACUUGUUCCUCCUUGCCUUCCACCGUGAUUGUGAGACCUCUCCAGCCACGUGAAACGGAAUGGGAAAUACUCUUCUCCUACCACCAACUUGGCCACUCUCCAGUGACGAGGUUUCAGAAGCAGUGCAUUUUCAAGUUUCUGCCUCAGAAGAGAUCCAGUUUGGCAUUCUGUCUAAGUUCACUGCACAGAGACGGGUUUGGCUCUGUGAUUCAUCAGAAAUAAGAAAAACAAACACUGUAAAUGGAGAACUUGAAAAAGAGGUGGGCACCAUCUCCCCACCCAAGAGAAUGGAUUUAAGAGGAAAUUUGUUUAUGGGAUGAAGUUUUAAAAGGCGACCUGGAAAAUUUAGCAAAGAUGUAAAUAAACAACUCUUCCUUGGAUUGCAUUAGGCUUCAGAAUAAAUAUAUUAACCAGCUUCAGUCAAAGUCUGCCUAGAAUCUGACCCUGACAAGACCCAGUGACUAGUGCUGCUCCGAACCUUCCCCACCAACAGCAGGCAAUUUUCUCUGUGGCAAAGCUACCUCGAAACAGGCAUCCAGGCUUCCCUCCCACGAAGUGAAGAUGAGAAAACUGAGUCUCAGAAUGGACAAGCUCACAGAUGGCAAGUGGUAGAGCAGACUUCACACAUAGAAAUGGCCACCCACUUUGGAAUAAAGAGGACAUAUAAUUUGCCUAAGGUCACAUAGCACUCUCUAAAUCAGUACAGUAUUUUAGACAAAGCUUCAACUUUGCACUUUUAUGGGUCAUUUUGAUAUAAGACUACAAGGAUAUCUCCUCCCAUGACAAACUUGACUUCAUUUACAACAAAAGGCCAAGCAAGAUACAGUACACUGUGGGGAUAAAUGGUACUCACUGAGGACAGGAAUAUGCUGACAUUAUCUCAAUUUCCUCCUCCCUCCUGUUGUUCUCCUUUGGAUGCUUUCCUGGACUAUAGGGAGAAGGAAAAUAGAGAAAGGCCAACUGCGACUAGGCCAGAGAUCAGAUGUUACCUUGUAGGAAGCAUCUCAUUCUAACCUUAAGUACUCUCUUGAUGAAGUACGGGGCCAAGAGAUUUUGGAAUUCUACCACACAAGGUUGCUCAGCAUUCCAAGAAGUAUUGAUAACUCUUCAAGAGCAAAAGUCAUUUAAAUUAAACUUCUCUGGCCGGGCAUGGUAGCUCAUAUCUGUAAACCCAGCACUUUGGGA